rnacentral:rRNA from 1 species
UCAUGAAAGCCGUUUGUACCCGAAGUCAUUGUGCCAACUCGCAAGAGAGGCAGGAUGCCGAAGGUAUGGAUGGUGAUUGGGAUG